CCCCCAGCUUGCUUCCUGUUGGGGUCCAGACGCUGCCUCCAACAGGCUGAGGUUCCGUCUUUGCUAACUAACUGCUAACUCAGUUGUCCAUCACUGCUGACCACUUGUCCGUCACUUGCCCAUCUUCUAAAACUGGGGAAAGGUGAGGCUUGUCGACUGGAACUUUGGAAGAACACUGAGCAUGAUUUUCCUCCUCCUCCUCUUUUCCCCUUGGAUGGGAAUCUGACUUCAGAGAACACUCCUACUUUCUGUCAGUCCUGAGGGAAGCUUGGUCACAGAAGCCUUGCCCUUGUGAUGAAGGGCGGUGGGGGCCACACUGGAUGGAGAGCUAAUAUCCAGUUCUACAGCUAAGUAUUUGGAAGUCCACGUCCCUGCAGAUCUGAGCCGCAUUCACCAAUGCCAUCCUGCUCGGCAAACAUCUCCGGAUACUGGGUCACAUCUCUUCGUUGGUUCUGGAAGCUUCCGGCAUCUUCUGGAAAUUGCACUCCAUCUGGGAUUCCUUGACAUGCCAGAGUAGUCCCAAGAUGGUAGACUUUUCAAUUCCCAUGAAGAAGACAGCCUAGCAUCAGCCAGAGGUAUAGACUCAGCUUCCAGACCACCAAGAUUGAAAUUCCAUCUGAGCCAUUCCAUCUUGAGCUGGGUCACUUUGGCCAAUUUACUCCGCUUCUCUAUGUUUUAUCAUCUGUGAAAUGGUGAUGAAAGCCGUCAUCUCCUCAAGGGGUUAUCGAGAAGAUUAAAGGAGUUCGUGUAUUGUUCACACGCCAAAGACCACAAGGAGCACAUCUGUAGCCAGAACUGGGUUCAUUAUUUGCCUCAGCAGUAAUAAGGGAGGCAAUAAAUAAAUAAUAGUAAAUAACAACUAAAGAGAGAUGCGUGCCAUGGGGAGCUCUGAGGCACCACUCGGCAUCCCAGGAAGAGGGUGGUACCCUCUCAGGAGGGGCCUUUUUUAAAGGAUUUGAGUUUGUGUUGAGUGAUUUUGGAGAGGGUCUAAGAAAGUGGACAGUUGUUGCCGUCAGAGAGUGGGGACGAUUCCAUGAUGGGUAGCUUGAAUUUUUUUAUCUAGAAGGUGGGGGAUCAAGGAAGGCUAAAGCCAUAAUUGGGAAAGAAGCAGUGAUCACUCUUGUGAGCCAGAAGAAAGCAAAGUUUGGUCACUGUAGGUGUUUGAGUUGUGUUCUUGUUCUUGUCUUUACUCAGGUGUCAUUAUGGAGGAGUCUGGGGCACAGUGACCUCAUCUGAUGUUCAUGGUCUGUGCCAUUGUUCACGCGUAGCGGGAGAACACCCGGGUCCAGCUCCGAGCGUCAGGCCAGCGACCAGCUACCGCCAGAGCAGCUUUGUUCUCUCUCUUAAAACGUAUAUUUUUAGCACAGAGUAUGACACGCUAUGGCUAACAUUCCAUCCCUCCUUAUAGUUCGGGAUGUAUAGGCUUUGUGUCCCCAGACAGGACUCCGUGCUGGUCGGCAGUGACGCACCUCGCAUGCUCCAGCUCUCCUAGGGCACUUGACCCCACGAGCUGCACUCACAGAAGCUAUUGUGUCUCGCAUUGGAUGUCGCAGUAUUUUUCUCUGCUCUGGUCAAGCCAUCACCUUUUUCAUGAUCACUUUUAUGGGAGAUCUUUUCUUGAGUAUCAAAUGACACAGAAUAUCAGGGAGGCAUUGUCUGAAGAUUAUUAGACACGCGUCAUCUUUGCACAUCAAGGCAAAAACGAGUAAGAUAUUUCCACCGAAGUAGAAAUGUGCCUAUCUCUGUAUUUCCCUUACUAUUUACACAUUUUCUGACGUUUUCUGUGUGGGGGAUAGAAUAAAACAUGUAAAUAAAGAUGUUCGCCUGCCUAAAUCUGUAAAAGUAUAGGAUUUCCAAACAAUCUGGAAAUCUCUGGUA